rnacentral:tRNA from 1 species
GGGGAUUUAGCUCAGUGGUAGAGCGCUUGCCUAGCAAGCUCAAGGCCAUGGGUUCAGUCCCCA